UUUUUUGUUUUUUUUUUUUUUUUUGUAUUUUGUCUCUUUUUAGGGCCGCUCCCAUGGCAUAUGGAAGUUCCCAGGCUAGGGGUCUAAUCAGAGCUGUAGCCGACGGCCUAUGCCAGAGUCACAGCAACGCCAAAUCCAAGCCGUGUUUGCCACCUACACCACAGCUCACAGCAAUGCCAGAUCCUUAACCUACUGAGCAAGGCCAGGGAUCGAACCCACCACCUCAUGGUUCCUAGUCGGAUUCGUUCCCACUGUGCCAGAUGGGAACUCCAAUUUACUUAUUUAUUUAUUUACUUAUUUUCCGCCAAAGUUGGGAGUGGGCGGCUGGGUAGCAGCGAGGAACAGAGAGCUGUGUGCUUGGGCAGGGCAGCCAGGCCCCAGGAGACCAGAGGCCACAGGGUCCCACGAGCAGCAACACAGUUUCCUUGCCAGGUAGGACCUGGGGUCCUGCAGAGGGGCUGGUGGAUUUCAGCAACUGCUCUCUGGGCGGGGUCUCACAGGACGAACCCCCUUCAGCUCCCAGUUGUAGCUCAGAGGGUUAAGAAUCCAACCAGUAUCCAUGAGGACACAGGAACUCCCCUGAAAAAUCUUGCAGUACAUCAAACCCCCGCAAAGCUAGAUCUGAGAUACAGGCUCUUUUCCGCAGUGUCUUAAGCCCAGCUGACAACAAAACCUUCAUGGAGAGUGUCUUUGCAGCCUAAACCCUUCCUCUGUGUCAAGGAAAAUACUUGCAAAGAAAGCACGAACUAGUUGCUGGAAGUCUCUGUUCAGCACACCAAUGAAAGAAGCACGGCAAGCCUUCUUUCACACCAGCCGGAGGAUGUUGCACAAAUGUUUGUCCAACUCCUCUUAUCUGUCGCACAGGGUUCACCUGGUCCGGUCGGAAAACCGCCCUCCACAAACAUACCACAUGCACAGAGCUUUCUUCGCCUCGGCUGUGGCCGGUCCAUUCCCUGAGCCCCCCAGGCCAGGAGAAGCCAGCUGUGGGGAAAGAGGUGUGUCCCUGGCCUCCUGGAGCCUUAAGCCGGGGGCGCUGUCCAGCAGAGCCCUGCCGCUCACGCUGUGGGGUGGGUGGGUGCGGGGAGUCCAGGGCUUAAAAGGGGCUAAUGCACACUCCUAGCUGUAAUUCAUUUUAACUACAUGUAAAAGCCACAGGUGGCUAACGGCAUCAUCUUGGACAGCAUGGUUCUAGAAUCUGAAUCUGCAGGCUCACAGCACCCCGGGGACUCAGUGCACAGCAGCGUGAGGGUGGCUCCAGGUUUUCACCAUCAGCUCGUGCCCUCAUCUCAGACCUCCCCUACUCCCUGCACGCCCACUGUCUUCUCCACCCUCCUCUGCUCCGUCGGGACGGGAAGCGCCCGGAGGCUGGCCUCAACACGGGCUCCACUCCCUGGGCUGCCCUCCCGGGCUCCCCAGAAACCAGACUGUAAGCGGAGGCGCAGCACCGCCAGCGGUGGAAAUGUGGCUUAAGCCCCUGACAUGACCGCUCAAAGGCGAACAGUCGCCGGCCUCCAUCCGCAGGAUCCAAGCAGCCUGGUACCGGUAAGGAAGCUGGAGCUGGCAGGCCCUCCUCUCCCCUCCUGGCACAGGUUCCUGCUCAAGCACUUUCCCCUCCCCUGCCCUUCUUCUCCUCCUAAUGUCCAUCCCC
ensembl:lncRNA